rnacentral:sRNA from 1 species
UAGGGUCAAAGACUAAGUACGCCACUUCCUGUGGCAACGUCUUUGUGACCCACCUCGUGUGG